UGACUUCAGGGAAGGAGAGCAUCAGGUAAAGGCAUCAAUAGAUGUGCAAACAAAAAUAGCAAGACAGCAACCCUAGUGGCUGGAGGAGUGGCUUGAAGUUUAGAGGGCCUGCUGUUCUAGUAAGUUCAGUCCCCAACAUCUACAUCUGAGGGUUGGCAACAUCCAUUAACUCCAGCUCCAGGGCCACUUCUUACUUUAUUGGGCACACAAUGCCAUGCACACACGUGUGCCUAUAUGCACAUAUGCGCACAGAAUUGAAAAUAAUAAAAAUAAAUCUUAAAACAGGGACUUUGACUUCUAUUGUUAAUCACUUGGUUUGCAAAGCAGUUCACGUGCUGUCAGUUGGAAAGAGCAUUCGUUUUUGAUGCUGUGUUCAUCAGUGACUACUGCUGGGUCACUAAGUAGUAACACAGAAAUUACUGCUGGGUCACUAAGUAGUAACACAGAAAUUAUUCAUUAAGAAAAUCCAAGUUAAUUCCUUAAUAGUUAAAGCUAUAAAUUUCCAGAUCAUCUACCCCAUCAUUGAGUUAUAGUAUUUCAUGUUGACAUUAGCUAAGCACUAACAAUUGGUAUAUAUUUUAGAAACAGUAUUUGGUGACUCUUAGGCUCCGAAUGGUUAUAACCCUCUCAUGUCAAAGGUGCCAUUUAUGAAAAAAAAAAAAAAAGAAAGUCAGAUAACAUUGGUGGGGACAAUAGAAGUCACAUAAUUGAAAAACAGUUAGGCAAAGUAUAUUACAUGAAAAUGGAAAAUAUCCAUCCUAACACCCAAACAACAGUUGUGAUUUCUAUGGGUUUCUUGAGAUUACAUAAAUCCACAGGGAUCUCAAGAUUUGAAUGUCAUUGGAAAGGAAUUUCUGUAAUUUAUAGAGACCCUUUGCUUGAGCAUUUUAGACUGAACUUAAAUGAGAUUUAAGUACAAUAAAGAGAACUGCUGGACACCAUGGUGGACGGUGCAGGCUUGUCCUCUCAGCUGAUCAGGGACUGAAACAGAAAACAAGUUCAAAGGCCUGCUCUGGUUAGACUGAGUUCAAGACCAGCCUGGAACAUUCCUGACUCAUUAUAAAAAAGCAAAAAAAAAAAAAAAAAAGGUUCAGAGUUGAAGUGAAAUUAUAGAAUCCUGCCCAGUAUGCCUAAGGAGCUAGGCUCAAUCCUUUGUGUGUAUGUGUGUGUGUGUGUGUGUGUGUGUGUGUGUGUGUGUGUGUGUGUGUCAGAAAGAGAGAGAGAGAGAGACAGAGAGAGAGACAGAGAUAGAUAUGGAGACAGUGACAGGGAGAGACAGAAAGACAGAGAGAGACAAAGAGACAAGAGGGACAGAGACAGAGAGACAGACAUAGGCAGAGACAGAGAGAGGGAGGAGGAGGAGGGGAAAGGAAGAGAAAUAGAAAGAAAGAGAAAACAAAAAAGAGAGAAAGAGAAAGAGAAUGGGCUGGGGGAGGACAGCAUUGAGCACAAAAUUUAUCCCAGAGCUGUUUCUAGAAAUCAUGAAGAUGCUUGUUCCAAGUGUCAGGUAGAUCAUUGGCUGGAGUCAGGGUACCUGCUUUGGGAUAAAGGCAGUGCAUGGAGACAUGUCAACCUCUGCAUGUAGAACACUGUCUGCCCUACAGUGGACACUGGAGAAGCUGACAAAUCACAAGACUGAGUAAAAUGACACCACUGCAUUUCUAGCAUAAACCAUGUGUGGCAAUACAUCUUAGGUGAGUUACAGAAACACAUAUCUUAAGAAAGUUAGAAAAAAUGCUUAUGACCUGGUUAUGUAAUAAAGGUUUUCCUGACCUGAAAAAAGAUCAAAUGUAAAUGACGAGUUUAGAAAUAUCUGCAAUACAUGGAGGAAGGAUUCCUUUACUUGAUACACAAAUGCUAGCAAAGAGUUACAGCAUGAAAAAUGCUCCCAGUGGCAAAGGAAGUCCAAUGAUUAGUGAAUAUAAAACACCAAGAUGAAGAGAGUACACAUUAAAACCAGAAUGAGAUGAUAUCCUAUUCAUCAAACUUUAUAUGACCAAAGACCCUGCCAAUCUUCUGGCAUCUCUAGUGUUGAAAAAUAAAAUCAGAAUGUGUAUAAAAGCUCAGUUUUAUGCAAGUCAUAUGCAUAUAUAGCAAAGUUUUUAAGUUGUACGCAUAUAUUUUGUCUGUGAAUUCAUAUGCUAAGAAUUACUCUUAGAAGAUUGCUGUAUAAAUAUAAGAAGAUAUUUGUGGCGCCAAUUCUUCUGAGCUGACUGAGAUGCCCGCAGGUACCUGUGUAUCCAGACAAUAAACCCUCUUGCUGAUUGCAUCCGGUGGUCUCGGCCUGGUCAUUGGGCUUGGGGAUCUCCUUCCCGAAGGAAGAUUCUCUCUGAGGGUCUUUCAUUUGGGGGCUCGUCCGGGAUUCGGAGAUCCUCCGCCCAGAGAUCACCGACCACCCACAGGGAGGUAAGCUGGCCGACAUUUGUCUUGUCUGUCGUGUCUUGUCCUGUGAAUGAUCGAUCAAUAGGCUCAUAUCUGGGGACUAUCUGGGCUGGCCAGAGAAGGAGCUGACGAGCUUGGACUUCUCCCCCGAAGCCCUGGAAGACGUUCCAAGGGUGGUUGGAGGAGAGGGAGAUCCGGAUCCGUGGCGCCUCCGUCUGUUUUCGGAGGGAUCCGGACCCUCGAUGACUCCGUCUGAAUUUUAUUGGAGUAGAGGAUCCAAGACCCUUGGUGACUCCAUCUGAAUUUUUGGUUUCAGUUUGGUACCGAAGCCGCGUGGUGAGUCUGUCUGUUACUUGUUUGACUGUUGGAAUUGUUUGUCUUCUUUGUGACUUGACUGUGGUUUUCUGGACAUGUUGAUGUCUGUUGUUUGUGUUCUGUUUCUGUGUUUGGUAUCCCAGAAGCAGCUAAGGUUAAGCUGCAGUUUGGGCCAGGUACUGAAGGUACCAGGCAUCUGUGGAAAUUGGUUAUAAGAUGCUUUGUCUUGGUCUUGUUUCUCUGGUUUGUUUUCUGUGAUAUUGUCGAGUGUCUUUUUGGCUUUUGCUUCGUGUUUGAAUUUGGACUGAUGACUGUGUUUGAAUUUGGACUGACUACUGUGUUUAAAAUCUUGGACUGACGACUGUGUUUGAAAUCAUGAAACUGCUUUGUUCGUCAAAGAGUUUUAUUUGGUCAUCUUGGUGCUUAAGUUAAAAGUUGAAAAUAAUUUGCUUGAGAGAAAUUGUUUACUGCCAGGGAGUUUUGUCUCUCCCUCUUGAGCCUCCUCCCCAAGGAGAGAUGCCCCAGGUUGGGGGAGGGGGGCAGAAAAGCCCCUAAAAUAGUUUAAAAAAAUCUACAACAAACUGUGAAAAACUUUGUUUUGCCAGUCAAAAUUUAGAAUUCAGGCUUUGGCUGUGGCCAAGGUCAGGAUUAAUGUCUUCUUUUCCAUGGGCCUUUAAAAGUGAGACAGUUUGGUAAAGGGCUGCUACUGAGGUCCUGAAAGUCCCAGGUGAACCCAUUACAAUUCUUUUGUCAGCCACUUGGUAUCUAGCACCCAGGUUCUAACCAUCUCUCCAUCCUUUUGUUAUUAGUUGUUACUAGAAGCCUAGUGUCAUUUGGAGGCUGGUUCUCUUGAGAGGCAAAGCCACCAAGCCGACACUGAAGAGAGAUACUCCUUGAGGGAAAAUCUAACUCUAGAGAGAGUCGAUAACAGAUUGGCUGCCUCUCUGCUCGCCUUUCUGUUUCAUAGACAAAGCUUGUGCUUAUUUGGACAAUGGCCUUUUUGUCCAAGAAAGGCCUCCUGGUUUAGCUGUGUGACUAAAUGCUAUUUGCCCUCUUCAGUGGACCUCUAUUCUCAAGAUUCUCUUGUUUUCCCACCAUCCCAUUUGAGAUGCUUGUUAGUAACUGUUACAGAUCUUCUUUACCACUGAGGAAAGGCAGAAUCCUGCUAGAGGCCAGAAAGAAUGUUCCAGACAUGGGUGGAAGGCCCUCACUCCUGACUGUUGACUUCAAUACGCCUGAAGGUAGGGAGUGCUCCAGGUCUGCCACCAGGCUCCAAGGGUGGGUCUCUGAGGGGCUGGAAAACGCCCCACCAAUCUGGCUAAGAUAAGGAAAAGAUAUGAAGAGAAAGUUACAGAAAUUUGAAGGGUUAAGCUAAGUUGCUGAGAGUUAGUAUAAGUUACUGAGAAAGUAAGGUUGAACAAAGAGACAAAAAAAAAAGAGGAAGUUAGAGAGCUAAAGAGAGAUAAAAGACAAGAGAGGAACAUAUACUGGCCACAGUAAUUAGGGAACCUAGGAAGACAGUACCUGGCAACAGAAGAGAAUUCCUGGCUAAAGGUCAGUGUGCCUAAUGCAAAGAAAAAGGACCCUGGGUCAAGGACUGUCCCAGGAAGAACAAGAGGGGCCUCUCCAGUGGCUCCGAAGGCAAGCCUCUUGGUCCUAGAGUGCUGGCUAUGCACAAAGAUAGAAGGAAAGCCUGCUCAGUUGUUGUGUGAAUGCGGGGGGCCUAACACUCUGUGCUCCUAUGUCCAAAUGGACUAAUGUCCAGCGAAAGACCUUGGGUACAGGGGGCUACUGGCAACAAACAAUACUUAUGGACUGCCCGAAGAACAGUGGACCUUGGCGUGGGCCGGGUAACUCACUAGUUCAUGGUCAUCCCUGACUGCCCCUAUCCCUUGCUCAUGAGAAAUUUGCUCUCCAAAAUGGCUUGCAUGGGCUGAAAUGGCUGGGUGAGGCCAUGUGUAUGCAUAUCUGCAGACUGUGUAUGUGGAGCUGCAGUCACUACGGAGGACAAAGUGAUUUGGGCGAAAGCCCUGCCUGCUGGUACCUCCGCACAACGGGCUGAACUCAUCGCCUUGACUCAGGCGCUCAAGAUGGCAAAAGGUAAGAGGCUAAAUGUAUAUACAGACAGCCGUUAUGCCUUUGCCACGGCACACAUCCACGGGGAGAUCUACUGGAGGCGGGGGCUGCUCACAUCUAAAGAUAAAGAUAUUAAAAAUAAGGCUAAAAUUCUGGCCCUCUUAGAAGCCCUAUUCUUGCCCAAAAGACUGAGUAUUAUACAUUGUCCAGGACACCAGAAAGGGCACAACCCAGAGGCACGAAGAAACCGGCUGGCCGAUGCCACGGCGAGAGAAGCGGCCAUGAGCAAACAAAUCUUGCCCUUAAAUAGCCCAGACCAACCCACGCCCCCACCAGUGGGACAAACCAGUUGGGUUUAUGCCCAUGAGGACAUAGAGCUCCUAGAAAAAAUGGGGGCCAUCUACCACCCUCAACUAAAACAGUGGGUCUACAAAGGACUUUUGAAUUGAUCUCCUUUUUACACAAAUUAACCCAUUUGGGGUUUAAGAAGAUGAAAACCUUACUAGAUCGGGAAGAGAUAAAUCUGUGUUUUUUUGAAUCGAGACAAAGCGAUACAAAAGGUGACUGAGAGUUGCAAAGCGUGCGCUCAGGUUAACCUGGGAAGGACCAUGAUUGGACAAGGAGUUCGUCCUAGGGGACACCGUCCCGACAUCCAUUGGGAAAUUGAUUUUACUGAAAUUAAACCAGGUAUAUAUGGAUACAAGUAUCUCCUAGUGUUUGUAGACACCUUCUCAGGAUGGGUCAAAGCCUUCUCCACGAAGCACGAGACUACAAAAAUGGUCACCAAGAAGCUCCUCGAGGAAAUCUUUCCCAGGUAUGACAUGCCUCAAGCGUUGGGGUCGGACAACGGGCCCGCUUUCGUCUCCCAAGUAAGUCAGUUGGUGGCCAAAUUGUUGGGGAUUGAUUAGAAAUUACAUUGUGCCUAUAGACCCCAGAGUUCAGGUCAGGUAGAACACAUGAAUAGAACAAUUAAGGAGACUUUAUCCAAACUUACGCUUGCAACUGGCUCAAAGGAUUAGGUGGCCCUCCUUCCCCUAGUUCUAUAUCGGGCCCGGAAUACCCCGGGCCCCCUUGGUCUAACUCCUUUUAAAAUAAUAUAUAGAACACCACCUCCAUUUGUCCAUUUCUUUGAUUCAAACAUUGCUGAUUUUGCUGACAGCCCUUCUCUGAGGGCCCAUUUACAGGCCCUACAGAUUGUACAGAGAGACGUCUGGAGACCUUUGGCCGCUGCUCACCAGGACAAGCUUGAGCAUCCGGUGGUGCCACACCCGUUCCAGAUUGGAGACACCGUGUGGGUGCGCAGACACCAGACCAAGAAUCUCGAGCCACGGUGGAAAGGACCCUACACCGUCCUCCUGACUACCCCGACCGCCCUAAAGGUAGACGGAGUCUCGGCUUAGAUCCACGCACCACACGUCAAGGCAGUCCGGUCUGAGGAAUUGACUAAUCACAACACUACACCCCAGACAUGGAGAGUUCAGCGCACUCCAAGCACUCCAAACCCCUUAAAGUUAAAACUCCUACGUGGCUCCUCCUAGCCCUUUUGUGGCCUAGAGUCAGUGGGGGGAAUAAGCCCCCACCAGACAGAAAUUUCUUGACCAAGUCGAGUGAAAGAUUUCACUCAAAGUUAGCAAAAAAAAAAAAAUGGGGGAAUGAAAGACCCCAGCUUAGCAGCAGUAACGCCAUUUUGCAAGGCUGUACUUAAGAUGACUGGUUCAGGGAAAGGUUAGAACACUGAGUACACAGCGGCUGCCAAGCAGGAUGUGUUUGGUUGAAGGCCUGGCAACAGGACGACUUCGGUUGAGCACCUGACAAUGAAAAAAAAAGCCCCGGGAGAGGUCCCACACCCUGGUGGGGGGCCGAGUCAGUCGUUAUGUUCCAAGAAGGUAGCUAGGAAACUUGCCCCCGGGCUAAACCCUUGCCAUAUUAGAAUCCACCAAUUAUAUCCCUGUAACCAUGCAUCUGCUUCUGUAUGCUUGCUUCUGCUCCCCAAAAUCCUAUAAAAGCCCAUCCUUGGUUCCGUGGGGCGCGCCAGUCCCCCGAGUGACUGAAGCGCCCGCAGGUGCCUGUGCCUGUGUAUCCCGACAAUAAACCAAAUCCUCUUGCUGAUUGCAUCCUGUGGUGUCUCGGUCUGGUCUUUGGAGUUGGAGGGUCUCCAUCCCGAGGGAAAGUUCUCCCUGAGAGCUUUUCACCAUCGGGAUAGGUGAGGGGAUAGGCUUGAUUUCUAUUGCAAAUGAUGUAACAUUACAUAUGUUAGUACUCCUAACACUUCUUGGAACUGUGCCUCAGGGAUCACAAUCUGUAUAAGUUUAGAAGUUCUAAAA